UUAGGUACUUAUUCGAAAUAUGUUUACAUUAUUAUUAAUGUUAUUAUCAAUUGCAUGCACUAAAAUGUGUCCACAUGGGCCAUUGGCCUUCUAUGAAAUAUGUAAAAUCAAAUUUUGUAUUUAAAAAUACAAUUGAUUGCGAAGUUUGAGACGCGCGUGUGGGUUAUGAUAAAUUAUGUAGUAAGUGUGAACAUUUGGCUUGCCCUCAAACCGGUGUAACUCCCAAUGCUUUGCAUUGCCCUUUUCAAGGCGGGGUUCAAGUUUGGAUCGUUUAAUGUUUAAACUGACGCGAGACGUUAUGCUAAAGGACAAUACUGGAAAAGAAGUUCAGGCGUUGCACGUAUUUGUCGUAGUGAUCAAACAUUUUACAGAACGCGUCUACGAACUUCUGAAAACUCAGCAGGUUGGAACUACUUCUGAUGACGUUCUAUGGACCCUCACUGUGCCUGCCAUUUGGUCAGAUGGUGCAAAGCAGUUCAUGAGAGAAGCUGCUAGCAAAGCUGGUAUCGAAGAUGGAAAUCUAAAAUUGGUAUUAGAACCGGAAGCAGCAUCUUGUUUCUGCCGAGAACAGGAGAUGUGAAGAGUUGUAAAGGUUGAUAACAGCGUUCAAUUGGAGAAGCUGCCCGUGUGACAUAAAUACAUUGAAGCCGAUUUGGGAGGGGGAACAGCUGAUAUCGCUGUGCACGAAGUUAUUGAAGACAACGAUUUGAGGGAGAUUUCAAGAUCGGAGGGAGAUGCUUAUGGC